rnacentral:rRNA from 1 species
UACGUAGGUGGCGAGCGUUGUCCGGAAUCACUGGGCGUAAAGGGCGCGUAGGCGGCUUAGCAAGUCACAUGUGAAAUACCAGGGCUUAACUCUGGGGGGUCAUGUGAAACUGUUGGGCUUGAGUGUGGUAGAGGGAAGCGGAAUUCCUGGUGUAGCGGUAAAAUGCGUAGAGAUCAGGAGGAACACCGGUGGCGAAGGCGGCUUCCUGGGCCACAACUGACGCUGAGGCGCGAAAGCGUGGGGAGCAAACAGG